UACAGCUGGAAUGGCUUUUUGGCAAAGGAAUGGUUACUUUGGGAGACUGGGAUCAGGUGGAGUACUUGCAUUGUCAUGUAACAUCAGCUAUGAUAUUUUGGCGGUACAGUCCCUUUUCUCUGGGCCUGAUGUAGCAUGCAGGUUAGCAUGCAGGUGCCUCAGUGUUGAGGACCUCAGCAUUUCAUGAUUGAUGGGUACUUGUUUUGAAGUGGGGAUUGACUGGUUGUCUGCCUGGGUAGUUGCUAUCCAGGACCCAUGGAUGUCUGUACAGGGUCUGUCUGCUUCAUAAAGUUUUUGUCAGGGUAGUUACAGCCAGAUCACUCUGUGCCAUACAGGCGUAAUUGGGGAUCAAUCCAUGUAUCGCUUUGUUUACAACUUUGCCACCAGAGACACAGAAGUCAACCAUUACAUCUUCAUUCCACAAAUGCUUAUAACUUGUGUUCUUUUAUUUAUACUGUUUCAUUCUAGAAUAAAGCAAACCCUUCUCAAAAACCAGAAACAUUAUUUAAUUCCCCCCCAAAAAAUAAGAUUAAUCUUACAUAAAAUAGAUU